rnacentral:lncRNA from 1 species
CAGGUGCCCAGUAUUUUCCUCCAAUUCUAAGGGAGGAUAGGACAGAAUAACAAGCGAAAGUGGUCCAAUAUUACUCACCGCUUUGGAUGUCCCUCAGAAGAAUACAUCUUAUACUUACUAUUAAUAGAAAAAUUAAAAUGAGUCCUUAAUAUCAUUUCUUUUUCUGAUUAUAAAAGUAUACUUAAGAAAAUCGUGGCAAUAUAUGCCAU